UACGUAGGUGGCAAGCGUUAUCCGGAAUUAUUGGGCGUAAAGGGUGCGUAGGCGGUCGGGUAAGUCUGAUGUGAAAUCUCACAGCUUAACUGUGAAACUGCAUUGGAUACUAUCCGGCUCGAGGAAUGGAGGGGAGACUGGAAUACUUGGUGUAGCAGUGAAAUGCGUAGAUAUCAAGUGGAACACCAGUGGCGAAGGCGAGUCUCUGGACAUUUCCUGACGCUGAGGCACGAAAGCCAGGGGAGCAAACGGG
rnacentral:rRNA from 1 species